UUGUUCAUUUCCCUGACUGCUCGCAGAAACAUUUUGCAUUUGUUGUUUUUCAUAUUUGCGGAAGAAUUGCGCAAGGACUUUGUAUGAGAAGUAUGAAAUGAGGAAUAAGGACUUUGUGGGCGGUGGAGUUUAUGCAUUUUCCAGCACCUGUUUGGCAUGGGGAGCACAUUCUUGCUUUGGUUUGGACCUAUUGCAAGAACAAAUAUUGCAGAUCCCUAGCUGGUGCAAGAGAUAUUCUCUGUGAGGUCUGAUGAUUAUGAGAAAAUUGAGGCCAAUAAUGCUCGCAAGAAAUUGGAAGGUGAAGAGUUACUGGACUUCAAAGGCGAGAAUGGGCUCAGCACAGAAGAAUCAUCAAUCCUGCUUUUCACAUGGGGGUUGAUCACGAUCAUACUUAAUUUUUUUUUUCUUGGGGUGGGAUUUUGCUUUACAGGGAGCACAUUCUUGCUUUGGUUUGGACCUAUUGCAAGAACAAAUAUUGCAGAUCCCCAGCUGGUGCAAGAGAUAUUCUCUGUGAGGUCUGAUGAUUAUGAGAAAAUUGAGGCCAAUAAUGCCCGCAAGAAAUUGGAAGGUGAAGAGUUACUGGACUUCAAAGGCGAGAAUGGGCUCAGCACAGAAGAAUCAUCAAUCCUACUUUUCACAUGGAAAAUAUCCAAAGGGUUUAUUUCUUUUACUAUGGGUUGGAGGAGUUAUGCUUUUCAACAAUGAGCUAUAAAUUUGAUUGCUAAGCUUUCUUUUGGAUUUGAAGAAAUAAUACAAAAUGCUGUAAUUUUAAAGAUGUCAAUAGCUUAUUUAAUUGGGAAUGAUUGUGUAGCGAUGACAAAUUACUUGUAAAUAUUACUUAACAAUUAUAAUUAAUAAAAAAGUGUUUUUUUUAAGGAGGGGUAGGAAUACCCCUCCAUAAACUCUUAAGGAUGGUCAUGGACAUCCUUCAAGAGGUGUUUCUUGUUCUUUUUUCUCUUACUUUUAUUUUC